rnacentral:rRNA from 1 species
UACGAAGGGGGCUAGCGUUGCUCGGAAUCACUGGGCGUAAAGGGUGCGUAGGCGGGUCUUUAAGUCAGGGGGGAAAUCCUGGAGCUCAACUCCAGAACUGCCUUUGAUACUGAGGAUCUUGAGUUCGGGAGAGGUGAGUGGAACUGCGAGUGUAGAGGUGAAAUUCGUAGAUAUUCGCAAGAACACCAGUGGCGAAGGCGGGUCUCUGGACAGUUCCUGACGCUGAGGCACGAAGGUCAGGGGAGCAAACGGG